UUGUUCUGGGACACAGCACUACCUCCGCUGUGCCAGAUCCACCAGGCAACUGUGGUUGCUCCACUGGCACAGGCUCGGAACGAAAGACUGUCUAGUGUGCUUGAUGAGUCUCCGAUUACGUUGAUCUUUGCGUCCCAAGACGAUGUCAACGGCGCUCCAGCAGCCAGCAGUAACGGCAGUAGAGAAGUGCAGUUGGUGGUUAUAGCAUGAUGCAGCGGGUAACAGGAGUGGCCUCCCGGAGGCUCCAAAGGAGCACCGGAAGCCAGUAAUGAAGAGGCCUCCUUCACCGCUGUAAGACGGGCUGCCUGUUCCUCAUUAUCUCCUUCCUCCAGGUGGCCCUUCUCCCGGGCGAGGUCCGAGGGCGUCUUGCCGUCGUGGGUGCGGGCGGUGGGCAGGGCGCCGCGCUCCAGCAGGACCCCGAUUUUGGGUCGGUCGCCCUGCUCCGCCGCCACGUGGAGCAGCGUCCGGCCCCGCUCGUCCUGGUAGUGCAUGUCGCAGACGCCCAAGUCAACGGCAGUGGCCAAGGCUUCCGCGCUCGCGUUCUUCUCUCUGCAGAGCUCGACUACCGAAGUGUGUCCGCAAAGAGCGGCAUAAUGAAGAGGUGUGUUAUUUCGUUCGUCUGUUGCAUUAGGAUCGGCUCCAUGAAGGACCAACAGUUUGACCAAAACAGCGUCACCUGUGAGAGCAGCAUAAUGCAAAGCAAGAUGAAGUGGGGUGUCACCAGAAUCAUUUGUUUGGUUUGGGUCAGAUUUUCUAUCCAGCAAUAAUCUUGCAACAUCGGUGUGUCCUUCAAAGGCUGCAAAAUGGAGUGGAGUGUAAUUGCUGCUGGUAGAAGCAGAGGGGUCUCCGCCAUCUUCCAGCGAUCUGAGGACGUCGCCAGCGAGUCCUCUCCUUGCCGCUUCGUGAAUGUCUCCCAUGUUCCUCAAAUCCAAUCGAAGGACCUCAAGGACGCCGUCACAUUCCCUACAUCACAUCCCGUAAGGUUGUGGCUGUGCUGAUACUGGUUAAGGAUUUCGGUGAAACUGGCGCUGUAUUCCGUCCAAGGCGUCGAUAUGGUGAGGACAGACCCAGUGUAGCAGUCUCCGUCCUUAUUCGCCGGGCCUUGCCAGGAGACAUUCAGCAAACCGCCGUUCGAUUCAACGCUGACUGAAGCUGGCGUAUCGAAGGACCUCAAGGACGCCGUCACAUUCCCUACAUCACAUCCCGUAAGGUUGUGGCUGUGCUGAUACUGGUUGAGGAUUUCGGUGAAACUGGCGCUGUAUUCCGUCCAAGGCGUCGAUAUGGUGAGGACAGACCCAGUGUAGCAGUCUCCGUCCUUAUUCGCCGGGCCUUGCCAGGAGACAUUCAGCAAACCGCCGUUCGAUUCAACGCUGACAGAGGCAGGCGUAUAUGCUCUCCCUCCCCCUUCUGCAUCAUGGCACGGACUCUGCAGCAUAGGAGCGAUGGCUAAGGAGUCGGUAUCUAUGGAAGAAAUCCUAAUUUGAAAACGGUCGACAAUUCCUGGUCUAAGACAGCGGGCUAAAAAAAAAAAAUGGCUCUUAAUCUUCGCCAGUGGAAUUGGCCACCUAUCGAGGAGCGCAGAGUGAAGACGUAGCUCCUCAAACUCUUCAUCAGAAUAUCGGACGAUGGGAUGGCGGAUAUGCAUAAGGUGGUCCCCGGUGAGAAGCUUUUGUCAGACGGCGUGCGAUGGCGGUGUGACCAUAGUCCGGUUCCUUUCCACUAUCGGGAAGUACCUCUGAGCAUUUCUCUGUUGUACACUUGUAUCUCAUGACAUACAAUGCACUUUGUAUGGACGAAUAAAGUGCCAACACUUUCAAAGACAGGACUCCAUGAUAAGUAGACACACAGUCGAAACAUGCUCGGUCCCUUUGCCUCAUUUGGCAUGGCAUGUUCAGGUUGCAUGGUUGAGAACAGGCAAUAGAGUCAAUAUUCUACCAAGACACUCUCUAUCCAAGGGAAUCUUCAUCGAUACGAGUCUUCAUCCAAGGAAUUUCUGUUUCUAAGCAAGGGAUUUUUUAGACAAAAAGUCCUUUUUUGACAGCGUAACGUAUAGCCAUCUCAGAAUCUGCAAUAACUCGGGAUAUGGUCACACGUUGUGAAGACAUUAGUCUUGCAAGGCACUGAAGGAUUAUUAUUAGUGCUCCUGUCCUUUACCCGGCAGGACACUGGGGCCGGUUUAACCGCAUACAAGCGCGCAAAAUACCACUUAUUGGGUCACGAUCAUGAACCAGCUGCUGGAUUCCUUCGCGAUUCAAAUCUCACUGGUGAAUAAUAGGAGUCACUGUGUUUGCGAUCAGCUGCCGUAGACGAAGAAUUGCUGGUCAUUUUCGUUCAUAGUUACGGUAUACCGCUUCGGGAGAGGAUUAGGGGUUUCUUCCGAGGAAUGCAUCACAUGUGUCAUCUAAGAUAAUUAUUUUUUGGCUAAUUAUGAAAAUGAAGAUGAAAGCUUGUUAAGUUUCUUUGCAAAUACAGUGUCCUUAAUAAACAUUCGAAAAGCAUCACAAUUGUAUAUCAGUUGUAACUUUUAAUAACAUAUAAUCAAAACACACCUGGUACUCAGUCCCAAGUUACGUCAUCUUUUCCAAGGCAUAACCGGAUAUAUCGUUUAAUAGUAUGCAUAGGGCAACACACACACACACACACACACACACACACACACACACACACACACACACACACACGCAUAUGUAUGUGUGUGCACGCCCGCGUAUACAUUCACAUUAAGUUUCAGUGUUUUUCAUUAUGCCCACAUUUAUUCUGCAUCAUAUACAGUACAUAUACAUACAUAACUUACCGGUAUGUGAUAUUUCUCUACUAUAAUGAUUAUCUAUGUUGUCACAAUAAUGAGAUGGAUUUUGCACAAUUCCAGGAACUCACCUCAGG